rnacentral:rRNA from 1 species
UGGGCAACCUGCCCCUCUCUCUGGGAUAACCCCGGGAAACCGGAGCUAAUACCGGAUACUCCGGCUGGAUCGCAUGGUCGGCCGGGAAAGGUCCGCCGGAGAGGGAUGGGCCCGCGGCCUAUCAGCUUGUUGGUGGGGUCAUGGCUCACCAAGGCGACGACGGGUAGCUGGUCUGAGAGGACGACCAGCCACACUGGAACUGAGACACGGCCCAGACUCCUACGGGAGCA